UUCGUCUCUUUCAACACACCUCCUGAGACUCUCUUUAGAACCCUAGCCCGCCGCCCCAAUUUCCACCGCCUCAGCCCGGCGACGCCGGCUUCAAUCCUCACCAAAAUCACACCACCGAACUACCCUGACCCUCUCGUUCCAAAUCCCACUCCGUUUCCCUCGAAUGUCACCCGAUCGUCUCGAAUAUUAGAUCAGAAAAUAAACCAUAAAAUCCCCAGGUCUCAAAUCAAGGUUUCAUUGAAGAUUUUAAGGCUUAGUUUGACUUUAAUCGCGUGUUUUUGACAAAGAACAUACGAUUAAUCUCGGAUUGGGCCGGAAAUUGGAGAUGUCGAGGCGUAAAUGCUAUUUCUUGUUUGUCCGAGAUUCCUAGGUAUUUUUCUUUACCCUUUUGUAUUUUAUUCCCUCAUCCUCACAUUCUUCUACUCUUUCUCUUAUUUUUUGAUUUUUUUUUUGUUUCUUUUUAUUUAUCAUUCUUCUUUAUCUUCCGUAUCUGCAUGUUAGAUUUAGGAUGUGUGUGAUAGUAAGUUGGGUCUUGUGUUCAAGUUCGGAUAAGUUUGAAUUUGCAUUGUCUUUUUGGGCUUAACUUUGUUCUGAGUCUUUAGGGUUCUUAAUUUGAACGUUUGAGUUUUUGGGUUUUUUUUAGUAUUGAUUGGGUUCACAAGAUUAAAAAUCCCAAUAGAGAGUUGAACUAGGUUUUCAGUAGACCCAUCGAAUUGGGUCAGCUUGACCCAAUUAGCUUGACCAGUUGACCGGGGUGGUUAUGGGUUAGUUUCAGAGUCUUUAAAGGGUAGUAUAGGUAAUCCAGCUAAGGAAUCUUUUGGGUAACUGACUUAGAAGCUUCUAGUAGGGGUCUUGUAUGGAAUUUCAGACUUUAGCUUGGGUAACAAGUCAGAAAAUUGAGGAUUAACUGGAAAAUAUAAAAAUUAGGGAGGGACUAGAAGUGCAAAGAAAAACUUUUAGGUUUGCCCUAUUGGAUGGCCUAAAAAAGCAUCUCUAUCUUGCCUUGGAGGGCAAGGAUUAGAGAUAGAAAAUCCAGAAAAACCAAAAACGGUUGAAGUUUUGAAACUGUACUGAUUUCUAGCACCUUUUCCUUGAUAAAAAUUGAUCAAAUUCUGUAUUAAUAGGGUCUUUCUGAUCUUUUUUCAUGAGCUAAAUCUCUAAAAACUUCACACUCUACACUUAAGUUGAGAAAUGGUUUGAAUUUGGGGGUUCUGAAAGCUUUGUUCUAAAUUUUGCUGUUUGGUUACUGUUUGAUUGGUUUUGGGCACUGUUUCAUAACUCACCUUGCUGCUGCUUGGCUACUGAUCUCAUAUUUCUUACCUCCUUUCAUUUCCCAGGUAUUCUCCUUGACUGUUGAGUGGCCGUUGAAGCUUUGAAAAUUAUUUGUUAUGUAUAGAAGAUAGAGGAUCCUUUGAAAAAAAUGUAAUAAGAUUGUUCUCUAUUUGAAGUUCAUGUUUUCCCUAUGUUAAUGCGAGUUAUUCAGUAUUGCUUAUUUCUCUUCCUUCUUCCUUAAGUGGCCUAUAUGGAUGAUAAGAAAUGUAUAACUAGCUUCAUGCUGAAAUGUUUAAGUUUGUGCCAAACUGUGAAGUGAGGUUCUGACUUGUUUCCG
rnacentral:lncRNA from 1 species